rnacentral:rRNA from 1 species
CCUACGGGAGGCAGCAGUGGGGAAUUUUGGACAAUGGGCGCAAGCCUGAUCCAGCAAUGCCGCGUGAGUGAAGAAGGCCUUCGGGUUGUAAAGCUCUUUUGUCAGGGAAGAAAAGGCUACGGAUAAUACCUGUGGCUCAUGACGGUACCUGAAGAAUAAGCACCGGCUAACUACGUGCCAGCAGCCGCGGUAAUACGUAGGGUGCAAGCGUUAAUCGGAAUUACUGGGCGUAAAGCGUGCGCAGGCGGUUUUGUAAGACUGUCGUGAAAUCCCCGGGCUCAACCUGGGAAUGGCGAUGGUGACUGCAAGGCUAGAGUUUGGCAGAGGGGGGUAGAAUUCCACGUGUAGCAGUGAAAUGCGUAGAUAUGUGGAGGAACACCGAUGGCGAAGGCAGCCCCCUGGGUCAAAACUGACGCUCAUGCACGAAAGCGUGGGGAGCAAACAGGAUUAGAUACCCUGGUAGUCCACGCCCUAAACGAUGUCUACUAGUUGUCGGGUCUUAAUUGACUUGGUAACGCAGCUAACGCGUGAAGUAGACCGCCUGGGGAGUACGGUCGCAAGAUUAAAACUCAAAAUGAAUUGACGG